AACUAUUCUCGGCUCUUGCAUAGAUGAAGAACAUAGUGAAAUGAGAUACUUGGUGUGAAUUGCCGAAUCCUGUGAAUCAAUGCGUCUUUGAACACAAGUUGUGCCCGAAGCCAUUGGGCCGAGGGCACAUCUGCCUGGGCAUUA
rnacentral:rRNA from 2 species